UACGUAGGGUGCAAGCGUUAUCCGGAAUUAUUGGGCGUAAAGAGCUCGUAGGCGGUUUGUCGCGUCUGCUGUGAAAACUGGAGGCUCAACCUCCAGCCUGCAGUGGGUACGGGCAAACUAGAGUGCGGUAGGGGAGAUUGGAAUUCCUGGUGUAGCGGUGGAAUGCGCAGAUAUCAGGAGGAACACCGAUGGCGAAGGCAGAUCUCUGGGCCGAUACUGACGUGAGGAGCGAAAGCAUGGGUAGCGAACAGG
rnacentral:rRNA from 1 species